rnacentral:tmRNA from 2 species
GGGGGCGUACUGGUUUCGACCUGGAAGACGCGCCAGAGGCGGCAUGCCGAGGACGAUCCGUUGGCCUCGUUAAUCAUCGGGUCAAAACAAAACAGCCAAUACUGAAUUGGCCCUCGCGGCCUAAGUCCGCGACGUUCGCCGCUUGACACCUGCUAGGGUGGACGAACGCAACAGCAGGGUAGGUUGGCCGUGGCGCCGGCUGCGCGGCUGACCGAAACUUUUGCAGCGGGCUGGGUGGGCGGGUCGCGCCGGAGCGUAACCGUUCGCCGAGACUUUACCUCCGGCUAAGCAUGUAGUCGCGGCUGGGGUUUCUGUCAGGGACGCGGGUUCAACUCCCGCCGCCUCCACCA